rnacentral:lncRNA from 1 species
UGAAAGCCUUGCGAGAGAUUCAUGCUUCCCCGCUAAUGCUACGAGUGAAGUGGAGAAAAAGCAUGAGCUAGUGCUCUUUUCUGCUAUUUUUGGUAGCUAAGCUAACAGUGUCAGAAACAGGAGGCUCGCUGAGGAGACUUGGUGGAGCCCACAACUCAGGGGUCAAGUCCAGGCUUUCCCAACAUCUCUACCCCCACUAUCGUCCAUCCCUGCUCUCUCCUCCUCUCUGGAGAAAUGGACGGAGUGCAGGAGAGGGACGUGAGAAGUAUGUGAGGACAGAGAGAGAGAGAAAGAGAGAAAAACAAGAGAAUGGGUGCCAACAAAUCUCAAUGAGGUGUUGCUCAAUGAGGUGUUGCUGGGGAUGGCUUUGUGCCACAGGCAAGCUGGUAAGGGGUUUAGAUACACAUUCAGACAUUUUGUUUUUGUCCUAAGUCAAGCACUGAGCUAAACAAUUAGGUUUAAUUAUGGAGCAAAGCUGUCAAGAUAGUUUACCAAGAGCUCGGUCACUAGGAGUAAAGUGUGGUGUAGUACGCAGCUAAUCAUUAGAAUUACAUCCUCUCUGAAAAGCAGAAAAGCUAUUAUAUGUUCAAAUAACUACCGGGUUAUGAGGAGUGCCAUAAAAACCUGAUAUACUGUAUUAAUUCAUUCAUUGUUUGGGUUUACUUUCCUUUAAAAGGUAAAAGGAAAAUGAGUGUAUAGUAGUAAUGUAAUCUGUCUAUACAGCUCAUGUGGCUGCAUAUAUUACUGAAUAAAAUUAGUAGGAAUGACCA